rnacentral:lncRNA from 1 species
UGACGACUCCCACUAUAUGAUGAUGUUCCCUAAGUUGUGGACUCAAAUCGAUAUCGAUUGGUCCAUGAAAUUGGAUAAUUCAAGUUUGUACGAAGUUCGUUCCAAAUUGGAUUUCACCCAAAACCCACCAAAUGACUGCCACAAUAUUAUGAUGUUCCCCAAGUUUUGAACUCAAUCCGAUAUCGAUUGGUCCAUGAAAUUGAACAAUUCAGGUUUGUACGAAGUUCAUUCUGAAAUGGAGUGGUUGGUGUAUUGUAUGGUUCUAGAGAUUGGAUUUCA